GUCGUAACAAGGUUUCCGUAGGUGAACCUGCGGAAGGAUCAUUACCACACCUUUUACAGAUUGACUUUAUGUCUUUCGAAAAACAAGAGGGGAAGUUGGCCGCUCGCAAGAGAGGUCGAUGGAAUCUUUUGUGCCCCGUGAAACGAUCGAAAAUGUGAUAGUUUUGGGUGUCUUCGGACACCCCAAUCAGAAUUAUUUUCAAGAAUUUUACUUUAACUCCAUACAGCGUUAGUAGUUUGACGAACUUUCUCAUGGGAAGAUCUGAAUAACGAAGCUGAAUGUGAACUAAAGCGUAGAUGUAAAUGCCAUAAAGUGGAGAAAGAUAACUCUUUUUCUAUAUUUGCUUAAAAACCAAAUGAAACCAUAACACUUUCAGCAACGAAUGUCUAGGCUCCCAUAACGAUGAAGAACGCAGC
rnacentral:misc_RNA from 1 species